AUUGAACGCUGGCGGCAGGCCUAACACAUGCAAGUCGAACGAGUGGCGGACGGGUGAGCAAUGUCUGGGAACCUGCCUGAUGGAGGGGGAUAACUACUGGAAACGGUAGCUAAUACCGCAUACCAUCGGAUGUGCCCAGAUGGGAUUAGCUAGUAGGUGGGGUAAAGGCUCACCUAGGCGACGAUCCCUAGCUGGUCUGAGAGGAUGACCAGCAACACUGGAACUGAGACACGGUCCAGACUCCUACGGGAGGCAGCAGUGGGGAAUAUGGCACAAUGGGCGCAAGCCUGAUGCAGCCAUGCCGCGUGUAUGAAGAAGGCCUUCGGGUUGUAAAGUACUGUCGGCUGGGAGGCGUUACCCGCAGAAGAAGCACCGGCUAACUCCGUGCCAGCAGCCGCGGUAAUAC
rnacentral:rRNA from 1 species